UACGUAGGGGGCAAGCAUUAAUCGGAUUUAUUGGGCGUAAAGGGCGCGUAGGCUGGAGCGUAAGUCAGAUGUGAAAUCCCGGGGCUCAACCCCGGAACUGCAUUUGAAACUGUGUUUCUAGAGGGUAGGCGGAGAAAACGGAAUUCCACAAGUAGCGGUGAAAUGCGUAGAUAUGUGGAAGAACACCAGUGGCGAAGGCGGUUUUCUAGCUUAUACCUGACGCUGAUGCGCGAAAGCAAGGGGAGCAAACAGG
rnacentral:rRNA from 1 species